CUCUGCCUCUGUGGUGGAUAGUGGAGUGUUUCCCAUGUGGUAAUGGUGUGCUGGAUAUCCCUUCACUGGUAGCCUGGUAACAUACACUCCCAAGUCUUUCUCUGCCUCUGUGGUGGAUAGUGGAGUGUUUCCCAUGUGGUAUUGGUGUGCUGGAUAUCCCUUCACUGGUAGCCUGGUAACAUACACUCCCAGGUCUUUCUCUGCCUCUGCGGUGGAUAGUGGAGUGUUUCCCAUGUAGUAUUGGUGUGCUGGAUAUCCCUUCACUGGUAGCCUGGUAACAUACACUCCCAGGUCUUUCUCUGCCUCUGCGGUGGAUAGUGGAGUGUUUCCCAUGUUGUAUUGGUGUGCUGGAUAUCCCUUCACUGGUAGCCUGGUAACAUACACUCCCAGGUCUUUCUCUGCCUCUGUGGUGGAUAGUGGAGUGUUUCCCAUGUGGUAUUGGUGUGCUGGAUAUCCCUUCACUGGUAGCCUGGUAACAUACACUCCCAGGUCUUUCUCUGCCUCUGUGGUGGAUAGUGGAGUGUUUCCCAUGUGGUAUUGGUGUGCUGGAUAUCUCUUCCCAAUUAUAGCAGCCACUUAUUGCUCCACUCCUGUAGCUUGGUGAGGUCUGCUUGUAAGAAAUUCGCAGUCAAGGGGUUAAGCAUCCUCUCACCCCCU